rnacentral:snoRNA from 1 species
CCCCUCUCAGGAUCGCACCUGGAGAGUCUCCAGUAGUCUACUAGUCUUGGCUACGGGAGAAAGAGUCAGGCAGAGGCAUACCCAUUCCAUUCCUAGCUUUGUCAGUGGCUAGCGAGUGGAAAGCAAUCUGCUACAAGU